rnacentral:rRNA from 1 species
UACGUAGGGUGCGAGCGUUGUCCGGAAUUAUUGGGCGUAAAGAGCUCGUAGGCGGUUUGUCACGUCUGCUGUGAAAUCCCGAGGCUCAACCUCGGGCCUGCAGUGGGUACGGGCAGACUGGAGUGUGGUAGGGGAGACUGGAAUUCCUGGUGUAGCGGUGAAAUGCGCAGAUAUCAGGAGGAACACCGAUGGCGAAGGCAGGUCUCUGGGCCAUAACUGACGCUGAGAAGCGAAAGCAUGGGGAGCGAACAGG